rnacentral:lncRNA from 1 species
AGACAGACAGACGGACGGACAGACAGAGAGACAGACGGACGGACACCGGACAUUUGUAUACCAUAAUACAUCCCGUCAAAAUUUUGACGGGCGUAUAAAAAUUAUAUUUCACAAGAGUAUAAAACACAUAAAUUCUAUUAAAAAAGUUAUAAAAAAAAAUUAAAAAAAUACUUCAUUGUUAAAGGCCGUACAGUGCCCUAUAGUUGUAUAAUAGAUCCCCCAUGGUCUUUGGUAGAUACAUUGUCUCAUUGGCACAUACUCUCUAUAUAUGAACACAUGUGAUUCAUGAAACAAAGAUGUAAAUGUAAAAAGUAUACUAUCUAAUAAAGUUAAAGUGUAAAGUUAAAAAUAAUGUAAAAAUUGCUCAUGUAAAAAUUAUCAAAAAUAUAUGUAUAUAUUGUACAAAAGUAUAAAAUAUCAUAUGAAAAAUAAUUAAAAAAAAAAUAAUUGUCAAAGACCGUACAUAACUCUAAAGUUGUUUAAUAGCUCCCUCGUGGUCUUUGGUAGACAUACUGUCUCAUUAGCACACUCUCUCUCUCUCUGCAUAAAAACAUGUAACUCACAAACCAAACAAGUAAAUGUAAAAAAUAAUGUAUAGGAAUAUACUAUCUAAUUAAUUUAAAAGUUUAAAAAACAAAGAAGUAUACAAAAAAA